CUUCGUCAUCACGGGGAAGGAGCCACGCCUACCUGCGAAUUUCUCAGGCAGUCUUUUGUUGAGAGCUCCUCCGCAAGAAAACCUCUCCUCUCCUCUUCUUGUUCUCUCGGGAAGCUGCUCGAUCGAGUUCGAUAGUGUUCUCUCCGUCGUCUCUAAUCCUUCUUCUGAUCAGGCUGACAUGGCGGGAAGAAACCGCGUGCCUCGUGAGUUAAUGAACAACCGCCGGGGUUACCCUCCUGAGGGACCUUAUGUUCGUGGGCCGACUUUGCAUCGGCCGCCCCCACCCACAGCGUUGUUGGAGGAGGAGCUUGACAUACAGCAUGCCGAACUUCAGAGGCUUUUGGCUGAUAAUCAUCGAUUGGUUGAUGAUCGGAUUGCUCUUCAGCGAGAGCUUGGGGGGGCUAAGGAGGAAAUUCAUCGCAUGAAUCUUGUUAUUGGUGAUCUUCGGGCGGAUCAGGAAAUGCAGUCGAGGGAUCUCAUUGAUAAGGGCUUGAAGCUGGAGGCUGAUCUUCGUACCGCUGAACCUUUGAAGAAGGAGGUGAUACAACUCCGUGGGGAAACUCAGGAACUCAAUAAACUUAGGCAAGAUCUCUCCAGGCAGAUUCAGACAUUGACCCGAGAUAUUGCUAGAUUGAAGAAUGAAAAUCAGCAAAUUCCACUUCUAAGAGCUGAGAUUGAUGGCUUGAACCAGGAGCUCAUGCAUACUAGGUCUGCUAUUGAGUUUGAGAAGAAGGAUAAUGUUGAGCUGAUGGAGCAGAGACAGGCGAUGGAGAAAAAUUUGGUUACUAUGGCACGGGAAGUUGAAAAGUUGCGUGCAGAACUAGCUGCUGGUGAUUCCAGAAUGUGGGGCACUGGCGUGCAAUAUGGAAUGAAUUUCAACAGUGCAGAUGGGGGCUUCUCCGCUCCUUAUGGAGAUAGUUAUGGUGUUCAAACGGGUGGUAAGAGCAAUGGCCCUCAUUAUGGUUCAAGUUCUGCUUUCCGUGGAGGAGCUGAUAAGACUCGCUUUAAUCGGCGUUGAAACAUGUUUGGAUAAACUCCUGAGGAACUUACAGCUGCUGUUCAUUUCAAGCGGUGGAUUCGUCCAUAUUCGCGUGCAACAACAGUAAUGUGGGGCUGCUUUUGGGCUAUAAGGCUGAAGCUGGUUCGGAGAAGAACGUCAGGUACAUGAUCGGCUAUGCAGAAACCGAAAAACAUUUAUGUAUGUCUACAAUUUGUAUCAUUUUUGGGGCAGGAUUUGUGGUGAAAUUAGUGCUUAAAACUCAUGUUUCUUAGAUUAAUUCUGAUCUGGAUGGUUUGAUAUGAUAUGCUAUCAGUUACAAUCCUCUCUUCCUUAACUUUAGGUAUAGUUAUUUAGUUAUAUUUAUUUUGGUUUCUCAGCCUAGAUCCACUGUAAGUACAGAGUGACUAGUGAAAGACUUUCUUAUUUCUUA